CGUGAGAUGUUGGGUUAAGUCCCGCAACGAGCGCAACCCUCGCCUUUAGUUGCCAUCACGUUUGGGUGGGCACUCUAAAGGAACUGCCGGUGGCAAGCCGGAGGAAGGUGGGGAUGACGUCAAGUCCUCAUGGCCCUUACGCGUGGGGCUACACACGUGCUACAAUGGCGGUGACAGAGGGAUAAUCCCUAAAAGCCGUCUCAGUUCGGAUUGUCCUCUGCAACUCGAGGGCA
rnacentral:rRNA from 1 species